AAGAUGUUAGUAAAACAUUACAUAGCCUUGUCAAGGCUAAAUUACAGGUGAAAACCCCGUACAUCUUG
rnacentral:tRNA from 1 species